UACGUAGGUGGCAAGCGUUGUCCGGAUUUACUGGGCGUAAAGAGCGCGCAGGCGGUCGUUCAAGUCGCGUGUGAAAGCCCCCGGCUCAACUGGGGAGGGUCACGCGAUACUGAUCGACUCGAAGACAGGAGAGGGUAGUGGAAUUCCCGGUGUAGUGGUGAAAUGCGUAGAUAUCGGGAGGAACACCAGUGGCGAAGGCGACUAUCUGGCCUGUUCUUGACGCUGAGGCGCGAAAGCUAGGGGAGCAAACGGG
rnacentral:rRNA from 1 species